rnacentral:tRNA from 1 species
AUCUGGCUGGCUCAGUUGGAAGAGCAUGGGACUCUUGAUCCAGGGGUCAUGAGUUCAAGCCCCAUGUUAGGUG